GCUCAGAGAGGGGUCAAUGUCCUAUCAGCUAGUUGGUAGGGUAAAGGCCUACCAAGGCGAAGACGGGUAGCCGGCCUGAGAGGGUGGUCGGCCACAUUGGGACUGAGACACUGCCCAGACUCCUACGGGAGGCUGCAGUCGAGAAUCUUUCGCAAUGCCCGAAAGGGUGACGAAGCGACGCCGCGUGUGGGAAGAAGGCCUUCGGGUUGUAAACCACUGUCGGGAGUUAAGAAGUGUAAGGGUGUUAAGAGCAUCCUUGCUUGACGUUAGCUCCGGAGGAAGCCACGGCUAACUCUGUGCCAGCAGCCGCGGUAAUACAGAGGUGGCAAGCGUUGUUCGGAAUUAUUGGGCGUAAAGAGCACGUAGGCGGCCCUGCAAGUCAGCUGUGAAAUCCUUCUGCUCAACGGAAGAACGGCAGUUGAUACUACAGGGCUCGAGUGCGGGAGGG
rnacentral:rRNA from 1 species